AGAUCAAUUAGCUGAUAUUUUUACCAAACCUUUGGAUGGCUUUCGUUUUGAGUCUCUCAGAUCAAGCCUCACUGUUCACUCACUCCCGUUCAGCUUGAGGGAGGCUGUUAGAAGAGACCUUGGUCCAACUGACU